rnacentral:rRNA from 1 species
GACGAACGCUGGCGGCGUGCCUAAUACAUGCAAGUAGAACGCUGAAGCUUGGUGCUUGCACCGAGCGGAUGAGUUGCGAACGGGUGAGUAACGCGUAGGUAACCUGCCUGGUAGCGGGGGAUAACUAUUGGAAACGAUAGCUAAUACCGCAUAAGAGUAGAUGUUGCAUGACAUUUGCUUAAAAGGUGCAAUUGCAUCACUACCAGAUGGACCUGCGUUGUAUUAGCUAGUUGGUGGGGUAACGGCUCACCAAGGCGACGAUACAUAGCCGACCUGAGAGGGUGAUCGGCCACACUGGGACUGAGACACGGCCCAGACUCCUACGGGAGGCAGCAGUAGGGAAUCUUCGGCAAUGGACGGAAGUCUGACCGAGCAACGCCGCGUGAGUGAAGAAGGUUUUCGGAUCGUAAAGCUCUGUUGUAAGAGAAGAACGAGUGUGAGAGUGGAAAGUUCACACUGUGACG